CCUACGGGGGGCAGCAGUGAGGAAUAUUGGUCAAUGGGCGGGAGCCUGAACCAGCCAAGUCGCGUGAGGGAAGAAGGUCCUAUGGAUUGUAAACCUCUUUAGGCGGGGAGCAAUGCCGGGCACGUGUGCCCGGAGGGAGAGUACCCGCAGAAUAAGCAUCGGCUAACUCCGUGCCAGCAGCCGCGGUAAUACGGAGGAUGCGAGCGUUAUCCGGAUUUAUGGGGUUUAAAGGGUGCGUAGGCGGAUUUUUAAGUCAGCGGUAAAAUGUCCGGGCUCAACCCGGGCCGGCCGUUGAAACUGGGGAGCUGGAGUGGGCGAGAAGUAUGCGGAAUGCGUGGUGUAGCGGUGAAAUGCAUAGAUAUCACGAAGAACUCCGAUUGCGAAGGCAGCAUACCGGCGCCCGACUGACGCUGAGGCACGAAAGCGUGGGGAUCGAACAGGAUUAGAUACCCUUGUAGUC
rnacentral:rRNA from 1 species